rnacentral:rRNA from 1 species
AACGAACGCUGGCGGCAUGCCUAACACAUGCAAGUCGAACGAGACCUUCGGGUCUAGUGGCGCACGGGUGCGUAACGCGUGGGAACCUGCCCUUAGGUUCGGAAUAACUCCCCGAAAGGGGUGCUAAUCCCGGAUAAUUUCUUCGGACCAAAGAUUUAUCGCCUUUGGAUGGGCCCGCUUUGGUUUACCUAUUUGGUAGGGUAAAAGCCUCCCAAAGCGACGAUCCAUAGCUGGGCUGGGAGGAUGGUCAGCCACACUGGGAAUGGGACCCGGCCCAGACUCCUACGGGAGGCAGGAGGGGGGAAUAUUGGAAAAUGGGCGAAAGCCUGAUCCAGCAAUGCCGCGUGAGUGAUGAAGGCCUUAGGGUUGUAAAGCUCUUUUACCCGGGAUGAUAAUGACAGUACCGGGAGAAUAAGCUCCGGCUAACUCCGUG